CAUCCUUUGCUGAGGAUACGGUUAACGGAGCGAAAGCGACGUUCAACCGCAAAAGAAGCAGAGGGGGCUUAGUGGUGGGGUGACUGCGUACCUUUUGUAUAAUGGGUCAGCGACUUAUAUUCUGUAGCAAGGUUAACCGAAUAGGGGAGCCGGAGGGAAACCGAGUCUUAAUUGGGCGUUAAGUUGCAGGGUAUAGACCCGAAACCCGGUGAUCUAGCCAUGGGCAGGUUGAAGGUUGGGUAACACUAACUGGAGGACCGAACCGACUAAUGUUGAAAAAUUAGCGGAUGACCUGUGGCUGGGGGUGAAAGGCCAAUCAAACCGGGAGAUAGCUGGUUCUCCCCGAAAGCUAUUUAGGUAGCGCCUCGUGAAUUCAUCUCCGGGGGUAGAGCACUGUUUCGGCUAGGGGGCCAUCCCGGCUUACCAACCCGAUGCAAACUGCGAAUACCGGAGAAUGUUAUCACGGGAGACACACGGCGGGUGCUAACGUCCGUCGUGAAGAGGGAAACAACCCAGACCGCCAGCUAAGGUCCCAAAGUCAUGGUUAAGUGGGAAACGAUGUGGGAAGGCCCAGACAGCCAGGAUGUUGGCUUAGAAGCAGCCAUCAUUUAAAGAAAGCGUAAUAGCUCACUGGUCGAGUCGGCCUGCGCGGAAGAUGUAACGGGGCUAAACCAUGCACCGAAGCUGCGGCAGCGACGCUGAUGCGUUGUUGGGUAGGGGAGCGUUCUGUAAGCCUGCGAAGGUGGCCUGUGAGGGUUGCUGGAGGUAUCAGAAGUGCGAAUGCUGACAUAAGUAACGAUAAAGCGGGUGAAAAGCCCGCUCGCCGGAAGACCAAGGGUUCCUGUCCAACGUUAAUCGGGGCAGGGUGAGUCGACCCCUAAGGCGAGGCCGAAAGGCGUAGUCGAUGGGAAACGGGUUAAUAUUCCCGUACUUGGUGUUACUGCGAAGGGGGGACGGAGAAGGCUAUGUUGGCCGGGCGACGGUUGUCCCGGUUUAAGCGUGUAGGUGUGUGUUCCAGGUAAAUCCGGUUCACUUUAACACUGAGGCGUGAUGACGAGGCACUACGGUGCUGAAGCAACAAAUGCCCUGCUUCCAGGAAAAGCCUCUAAGCAUCAGGUAACAUCAAAUCGUACCCCAAACCGACACAGGUGGUCAGGUAGAGAAUACCAAGGCGCUUGAGAGAACUCGGGUGAAGGAACUAGGCAAAAUGGUGCCGUAACUUCGGGAGAAGGCACGCUGACACGUAGGUGAAGUGAUUUACUCAUGGAGCUGAAGUCAGUCGAAGAUACCAGCUGGCUGCAACUGUUUAUUAAAAACACAGCACUGUGCAAACACGAAAGUGGACGUAUACGGUGUGACGCCUGCCCGGUGCCGGAAGGUUAAUUGAUGGGGUCAGCGCAAGCGAAGCUCCUGAUCGAAGCCCCGGUAAACGGCGGCCGUAACUAUAACGGUCCUAAGGUAGCGAAAUUCCUUGUCGGGUAAGUUCCGACCUGCACGAAUGGCGUAAUGAUGGCCAGGCUGUCUCCACCCGAGACUCAGUGAAAUUGAACUCGCUGUGAAGAUGCAGUGUACCCGCGGCAAGACGGAAAGACCCCGUGAACCUUUACUAUAGCUUGACACUGAACAUUGAGCCUUGAUGUGUAGGAUAGGUGGGAGGCUUUGAAGUGUGGACGCCAGUCUGCAUGGAGCCGACCUUGAAAUACCACCCUUUAAUGUUUGAUGUUCUAACGUGGACCCGUGAUCCGGGUUGCGGACAGUGUCUGGUGGGUAGUUUGACUGGGGCGGUCUCCUCCUAAAGAGUAACGGAGGAGCACGAAGGUUGGCUAAUCCUGGUCGGACAUCAGGAGGUUAGUGCAAUGGCAUAAGCCAGCUUGACUGCGAGCGUGACGGCGCGAGCAGGUGCGAAAGCAGGUCAUAGUGAUCCGGUGGUUCUGAAUGGAAGGGCCAUCGCUCAACGGAUAAAAGGUACUCCGGGGAUAACAGGCUGAUACCGCCCAAGAGUUCAUAUCGACGGCGGUGUUUGGCACCUCGAUGUCGGCUCAUCACAUCCUGGGGCUGAAGUAGGUCCCAAGGGUAUGGCUGUUCGCCAUUUAAAGUGGUACGCGAGCUGGGUUUAGAACGUCGUGAGACAGUUCGGUCCCUAUCUGCCGUGGGCGCUGGAGAACUGAGGGGGGCUGCUCCUAGUACGAGAGGACCGGAGUGGACGCAUCACUGGUGUUCGGGUUGUCAUGCCAAUGGCACUGCCCGGUAGCUAAAUGCGGAAGAGAUAAGUGCUGAAAGCAUCUAAGCACGAAACUUGCCCCGA
rnacentral:rRNA from 1 species